rnacentral:rRNA from 1 species
AGAAUCAACGCUGGCGGCGAGCUUAACACAUGCAAGUCGCACGAGAAAGUGGAGCAAUCCAUGAGUAAAGUGGCGUACGGGUGAGUAAUACGUGGAUCAUCUACCUUUUAGUGGGGAAUACCCCUGGGAAACCGGGGAUAAUACCGCAUAAGCUCGUGAGAGGAAAGCCGAAAGGCGCUGAAAGAGGAGUCCGCGGCUGAUUAGCUAGUUGGUGAGGUAACGGCCCACCAAGGCGAAGAUCGGUA